rnacentral:lncRNA from 1 species
CUCCCUUGAGCCGCAGAGCCAAGCAGGCACAGACACAUGGCCUUGAUGUUGUCAUGAGAGGGGACUGGGAUUUGCUGAGUGAGAAAUCAGGGGUGGCCAGGUCAGCCAUGCAGCACCCACAGCUCCUUGGUUGUGCUAGGGUUGGUGGCCCGACGCAACGCAGCUUGACAACCCGGCACUUCACGCUUAAGUGUUCUAAGUUCAUGUUAACCGCUUUGUCAAUACAGAUUCAGUUCAUUUGCCUAAUGGACGAGCACAUUUUCUGUGAUACUGCCACGCCAGGGCUGGUAUCCGUGAUGGCCGAGGUCUUGUAGAGGGGGGUCUGUGUGGUGGAGUGAAAUCCCAGUGUGCUAGGGUGUGUAGGAGAGCAUGUCACCAGGGAAAGGGAGGCCAAGAGGAAGAGAAGAAGGGACCAGGCGUGGUGACACACACCUGUUAAUCUCAUCAACUCUGGAGGCUGAGGCAGGAGGAUCGCAAGUUCAAAGGCAGCCUCAGCAACUCAGCGAGACCCUGUCUCUAAAUAAAAAAUAAAAAGGGCUGGGGAUGGUGCUCAGUGGUUAAGCACCCCUGGGUUCCCAUCCCAGGUACCAAAAGAAAAACCUCUACAUUGACUGAUUUAAAGGAAAAACAAAGUGGAUUGUCAGGUGGCUGUGUUGACCCAGAUCAGAAAAGAGAAACCUUUUUUGGCUUUUCUGAUCCAGAAGUGUCCAUCAGUGGAGGGCAGGGCUAGAGGAAGUGGUUUGUUGUUCCUGACUUCACAUCUUCUGACCCAACUUGGUACCUCCUUGACCUGCCCAGGUGACAGGACAGAUUCCCUUCCUGCAGGCAUAGAAGGGACUUCUCAAGCCCUCAGAAGUCCCCGAGUAAGGAUGGCACAGCCUUUCUCUUUGGGGAAUGAGUGCAGGUCAGACGUGGCUCUCAGAAGUCCUCUGUCAG